AGUGAACGCUGGCGGUAGGCCUAACACAUGCAAGUCGAACGGCAGCACAGUAAGAGCUUGCUCUUACGGGUGGCGAGUGGCGGACGGGUGAGGAAUACAUCGGAAUCUACUUUUUUGUGGGGGAUAACGUAGGGAAACUUACGCUAAUACCGCAUACGACCUACGGGUGAAAGCAGGGGAUCUUCGGACCUUGCGCGAUUGAAUGAGCCGAUGUCGGAUUAGCUAGUUGGCGGGGUAAAGGCCCACCAAGGCGACGAUCCGUAGCUGGUCUGAGAGGAUGAUCAGCCACACUGGAACUGAGACACGGUCCAGACUCCUACGGGAGGCAGCAGUGGGGAAUAUUGGACAAUGGGCGCAAGCCUGAUCCAGCCAUACCGCGUGGGUGAAGAAGGCCUUCGGGUUGUAAAGUCCUUUUGUUGGGAAAGAAAAGCAGCAGGUUAAUACCCCGCUGUUCUGACGGUACCCAAAGAAUAAGCACCGGCUAACUUCGUG
rnacentral:rRNA from 1 species